UACGGAGGAUGCAAGCGUUAUCCGGAAUUAUUGGGCGUAAAGAGCUCGUAGGCGGUUUGUCGCGUCUGCCGUGAAAGCCCGGGGCUCAACCCCGGAACGGCCUUUGAAACUAGGUAGCUAGAGUCUUGGAGAGGUUAGUGGAAUUCCGAGUGUAGAGGUGAAAUUCGUAGAUAUUCGGAAGAACACCAGUGGCGAAGGCGGCUUACUGGACCAUUACUGACGCUGAGGUGCGAAAGCGUGGGGAGCAAACAGG
rnacentral:rRNA from 1 species